AAAGAAAAUAGAAAAAUUGGAAAAUAUAGAAAAACGAAAAUUGGAAAAAAUAUUAAGAGGACUAUUUUAAAAAAAGGAAAAUAGAAUAAAGAAAAACGCAAGUGCUGAUAAUUGGAGAAGAUGGAAGUGAAAACAGGGAAAAAUGAGAAGAGAGAAAAAGUAGAAGAGAAAAAUAAGAGAAGAGAGGAAAAAUGAGUGAAAACCAAAGAGGAAUUAAGAGGAGAAAAUACAGAAAAUCAGAAGCAAAAAAGAAGGAGAAAAAGGAAGAAAAAUCCCAAUUUGGGUCCCGGAGUUGAGAAAAUUGAGGAAAAUGCCCCAAAUGGAGCCGGGUGAGGCCCCUUCCCCCAUGUGGGGCGGCGGAUUUGGGGCAAUUCCGGCCGGUUUUGGGGCGUCGGGGGAGGGGGGGAGAGCGGGGACCCCCCGGUCAUGGCAUGUGGGCACCCCCCGACCCCAAACCCCUCCAAACCCCCCCCCCCCACAACCCGGCGGGUUCGCGGGAAUAUGCGACGAUCGGGCGGUUUCACCGCUUCGGCCGCUUUUCCCCCAUAAAUAUUCUGACAGGGCUCGGGGGGGGGGUCUCGUGGGUGUUUUUUGCAGCCCCGCCGGCCCUGCCCCCGCCCGAGGAGCCUCCGAGCGCCAGAUUGGGGCAAAAAGCCCCCAGACAGGGUCUGCAGGAGAAGUAGGGACCAGAAAUGGGUAUUUGUGCCGCUUUCACCCCAAAAUGGGCCGUUCCGGAGGGUGGGGGGCAGCUUUGGGUUUGGCCGCUUUUCCCCCCAAAAAAUAACCCAAAAAGGGCUAAAAUUGCCCCAGUAUGCGCUGCUGGACAGGUCCACCCCUCAGCUGGGAGUUUGAACCCAAAAAUGGGGCUUUUCCACCCAAAAAAGUGCUGAGUCAGCACCUUCGCGGUGCUGGGGGAGGGGGAGGUGCUUUUUAACCAGUUUCCCCGGAUUUUCCCCCAAAAGUGGAGGGAUGGAGGAGCAGGUUGGGGGAGGGGGGGUGGUGUUGUCUCUCUCCCCUCCCCACAGUGACAGUGCCAAAACCGCCUCGAUUCACCCCAAAAUGGACAAUUGGCGCCAAAAAAUGGCUAAAAACUAGAAAUUCCCCCCAAAAUAAGAGGCAGGAAAAGGUGAGCGAGCGGAGUAAGUACCGGCGGGGCCCCGGGACGCGCCGACCCCAAAAUCCCCGUUUCUCAGCCCAAACUGCGCGGGGCGCGCGUUUAACCUCAAACUCCCCGUUCUGAGCCCAAUUUGCGCCGGGGGCGCGCGAGUAACCCCAAAUCCCCAUUUCUCAGCCCAUUUUGUGCUGGGGGCGCGUGUUUAACC